GUUAAGCGACUAAGCGUACACGGUGGAUGCCCUGGCAGUCAGAGGCGAUGAAGGACGUGCUAAUCUGCGAUAAGCGUCGGUGAGGUGAUAUGAACCGUUAUAACCGGCGAUUUCCGAAUGGGGAAACCCAGUGUGUUUCGACACACUAUCAUUAACUGAAUCCAUAGGUUAAUGAGGCGAACCGGGGGAACUGAAACAUCUAAGUACCCCGAGGAAAAGAAAUCAACCGAGAUUCCCCCAGUAGCGGCGAGCGAACGGGGAGGAGCCCAGAGCCUGAAUCAGUGUGUGUGUUAGUGGAAGCGUCUGGAAAGGCGUGCGAUACAGGGUGACAGCC
rnacentral:rRNA from 1 species